rnacentral:tRNA from 1 species
GGCUCUAUGGUGUAGAAAACAUGAUAGGUUGUAAACUUAGAGAAGCUUAAGGCUAGGGCCU